ACGCACGCUGGCGGCGUGCUUAACACAUGCAAGUCGAACGGAAAGGCCCUGCUUUUGUGGGGUGCUCGAGUGGCGAACGGGUGAGUAACACGUGAGUAACCUGCCCUUAACUUUGGGAUAACUUCAGGAAACUGGGGCUAAUACCGGAUAGGAGCUCCUGCUGCAUGGUGGGGGUUGGAAAGUUUCGGCGGUUGGGGAUGGACUCGCGGCUUAUCAGCUUGUUGGUGGGGUAGUGGCUUACCAAGGCUUUGACGGGUAGCCGGCCUGAGAGGGUGACCGGCCACAGUGGGACUGAGAUACGGCCCAGACUCCUACGGGAGGCAGCAGUGGGGAAUACUGCACAAUGGGCGGAAGCCUGAUGCAGCAACGCCGCGUGCGGGAUGACGGCCUUCGGGUUGUAAACCGCUUUCGCCUGUGACGAAGCGUGAGUGACGGUAAUGGGUAAAGAAGCACCGGCUAACUACGUG
rnacentral:rRNA from 1 species